UACCAGCACCCCGAGUGGUCGGGACGAUUAUUGGGCCUAAAGCAUCCGUAGCCGGUUUUACAAGUCCUCCGUUAAAUCCAGCUGCUUAACAGAUGGGCUGCGGAGGAUACUAUAAGACUAGGAGGCAGGAGAGUCAAGCGGUACUCAGUGGGUAGGGGUAAAAUCCGUUGAUCCAUUGAAGACCACCAGUGGCGAAGGCGGCUUGCCAGAAUGCGCUCGACGGUGAGGGAUGAAAGCUGGGGGAGCAAACCGG
rnacentral:rRNA from 1 species